rnacentral:tRNA from 13 species
GGGCGAUUAGCUCAGGGGUAGAGCACCACAUUCACACUGUGGGGGUCGCAAGUUCGAAACUUGCAUCGCCCACCA